GGUGCCUCUAGAGGCGUUGUUAGGUGUGACUGCUGUGUCACAUGUGUGUCAGUAGGUGGCAGAGAGGAGAGAGGCUAUGUCUACAUUUAGUGUUCUGACCUGUGAACAUCUGAAUGAUUAAUAGCCUAAUAUU